AGAGCACCUAGUGCCGGGACAGCCGAUGGCACGGGCAAAAGCACGUGCAGCCCUGAAAUCAAGGAGCUGCAUCAGUUUCAAGAUCCAGAUGAACCCACUUCCUGCAGAGAAGGCUCCUGGGAAUGAGUCUGAGGGCGCCCAGGAGACGCAGACCCUGGUUUAAAGAAGGUACAUGAAGUCUAUUCCUGGAGAGAUGCUGCCAAGUGUCACCAUGUCCUGGAGACCUAGGAAGCCAUCGCAGGGUGUCACAGCGAGGCAGGACUAAGAGUCACCCACUUCCCAGAGGAGAAGGCUCGAGGCCAACAGUGAGUGAAUGGCAGAAUCAGACUAGAACUCAGUCGCCAAGCGCAGAAGCCACACUCACAACCCUCCCUCCGGCCAUGUGGCCUCAAGAAGCCUCAUUUUC